GAGCAAAAGUGUCUUAUAACAAAUGACAUAUUUUGCAUUGAAGGUUGGCUACAUAGAAAAGUGAUUCUCCGUGCCUCUCAAAAUUUCAGUUUUGAAUAGACCUCGAACAAGUCAUGACACU